GCGGACGUGGCGGAACUGGUAUACGCAACAGACUUAAAAUCUGUCGCCCGUAAGGGAUUGAGGGUUCAAAUCCCUCCGUCCGCACCA
rnacentral:tRNA from 1 species